CCGAUUCACUCUCACUUAUCUCAUGAUUCUUGUUUUCUAUACCCUACAACUUUGCAUGUUUUACACCUUUGUAUGAUGGUUGUUCUUUCUUUCUUAUUCUGAAUCAUUGCUGAAAAAUCACUGAUGGUUAUCAUACACAUUAAUUUGACGUGAAGCUUACCUGAAGAGCUGAGGCUUUGGCGCAAAGCAAGAGUGCCAUAGAAAAAGAACUCAAGUGGCAAUUGGAAUCUUUCAUGAUUGGAACUACUAAACAUUUUGAAUUUCAAGAAUCAGAGG